ACUAACAGGCCAUGGUUAGAACAAAAAGGCUAGAGCUUUCCAAAAUUGCAGUGUAUUGAUGCGAUUUGGAAGCUGCAGAUAUUUGGCAGCUAUAACCUACAGACGACGCCAACAAACCUAAUCUAUGAAUAUUCAAGCAGAUUCAGCAGAAGACAUUCAACACAAGCUGCAACCGUGCACCCGUGUGUACAUAGCGAACUAACUAUAAGCCGCAGGGGGAGAAAAACAAAUAAGUUCCAACCGCCGCAAAUUCGAGAGCACGUAUUACUUGAACCGCCCAAUUGCAAGAAGAAUCAGAAUCGCCUUUAAUCGUCGCACACAUUUGCAUGUACAGGAAUUUGACUGAAAUGGUGCUGCUAAAGGACAGACAAAGACGCUGAGCUCCAACUAACCAGAUGCACGUUCUCGACCGUGCGCUCUCGAGGACUGUAGGAGAUAUAUGACUGCAAAGGAUCCAUGGAAUGACCCAUAUUUCCUCCAGAGCCAGAAAGCUGCAGUUGUCUGACGUCAGAGGACUUGAGAGGACUACACCCCCAAUCCUGAAAGAAGUCAGCUUCUGUCUGUUUGUUUUUAACAAUUCAUUAAAAAUAAAAACAUGAAAUGUC